GACCUGGUGGUGAAUGGUUCACAUCCACCCUCCUUACAAAGUCCCAAUGCAUGUGAGAUGGAAAUCCCGGUUCGAUUCCGGGUCAGGUUG